GUGCUCACUUCGGCAGCCCGGACACUAACAUUAGAACAAUACAGAGAAGAUUAAUUAACAUGGCCCCUGCGCAAGGAUGACACACAAAUUCGUGAAGCGUUCCAUUAUUUU